rnacentral:rRNA from 1 species
AGAUGAGUUCUCCCUGACUCCCUGAGAGUCCUGAAGGAACGUUGAAGACGACGACGUUGAUAGGUCGGGUGUGUAAGCGUAGCGAUACGUUGAGCUAACCGAUACUAAUGAACCGUGAGGCUUAACCUUACAACGCCGAAG